GACGAACGCUGGCGGCGUGCUUAACACAUGCAAGUCGAACGAAGUGGGAACGGGUGAGUAAUACGUGGGUAACCUCCCUCCUUUUUGGGAUAAGCCUUGGAAACGGGGUCUAAACCGAAUAGAUGGGCUCGCGGCCUAUCAGCUUGUGGGGGGGGGGAUGGCCUACCAAGGCGGUGACGGGUAGCCGGCCUGAGAGGGUGACCGGCCACAUUGGGACUGAGAGACGGCCAAGACUCCUACGGGAGGCAGCAGUGGGGGAUAUUGCACAAUGGACGCAAGUCUGAGGGAGCAACGCCGCGUGUGUGAAGAAGGUCUUCGGAUCGUAAAGCACUGUUAUCAGAGAAGCGGUAACUGAUCAGAAAGCCACGGCUAACUACGUGCCAGCAGCCGCGGUAAUUC
rnacentral:rRNA from 1 species